rnacentral:tRNA from 1 species
GCCUGGGUGGCUCAGUUGGUUAGGUGUCUGACUUAAGCUCAGGUCAUGAUCUCACAGUUCGUGGGUUCAAGCCCCACAUUGGGCU